AUGCAGUUUCUCAGCUACGGGAGCUUGUCGCCCACGCCCAUCACCGCGACCCAGGCGGAGUUGGAGGCGGAGGCGAUUCUCAAGGGCAAGGCGGAGGCGGACAUCAUCAAGGCCAAGUCGGAGGUGGAGAAGGAGGAGGUGUCCCUCAAGGACACGGCGGUGGAGGAGACGGCGUUCAUCGUCAAGGCCAAGGCGGAGGAGGAGGCGGUGAUGGGACUGAAGGGCGCCGAUGCGACCUCGGACUCGGAGGUGGAGGACUUGUACGACAACUGCCCCUACGACUCAGACGAUGAUCCAGACACCGUGUGCGCCAAGCUCGCUGCAUGGUACGAGGAGCAGGUCAGGAAGCGGCAUGCUCGCCUUCCCUGGUUGAAGUAUGACUCCGCCGCCGAUAUCCUCAAGAUGCAUGGGGAGGCUUCCGCUUUGUACAACGGGCAGCAGCCCGUGGCUGAUGAUGGGGUUGCUCCAGUGGUACCAGUCUGA
rnacentral:rRNA from 1 species